CCAAAUGGGCCAGUGCAAAUCCUACUUGGAUAACUGUGGUAAUUCCAGAGCUAAUACAUGCAACUGAUAUCCCGAAGGCGGUGUUUGGGCUUGCUUGCCUUGCACUUCGCUGCUCUGACGGAUGCUUUUAUUAGACCAAACCGCUGAGGACUUGAGGGUUCGCGCUCUCUUGUCUGACUCGUGCGAUGGUGACUCUGGAUAACCAAAUUCUGACAAGCGCACGUACUUCUCUUCUGAGCGAGACGGCGCUGCCACUUUCGAGUGUCUGCCUUAUCAGCUAUCAACCGUUCGUUAUGCGCGACCGAUGGCUUUGACGGGUAACGGGGAAUCAGGGUUCGAUUCCGGAGAGGCAGCCUGAGAGACGGCUACCACGUCCAAGGACGGCAGCAGGCACGCAAAUUACCCAAUCCCAGCAAAUGGGGGAGGUAGUGACGAAAUCUAACGAUGCGGGCGCCCUUUCUGGGGCCCCGCAAUCGGAAUGGGCACUUUCUAAACAACCUGUUGAGAACCUACUGAAGG
rnacentral:rRNA from 1 species